rnacentral:rRNA from 1 species
UACGUAGGGUGCAAGCGUUGUCCGGAAUUAUUGGGCGUAAAGCGCACGUAGGCGGACUCUUAAGUCGGUGGUGAAAUCCUGGAGCUCAACUCCAGAACUGCCUUCGAUACUGAGAGUCUCGAGUCCGGGAGAGGUGAGUGGAACUGCGAGUGUAGAGGUGAAAUUCGUAGAUAUUCGCAAGAACACCAGUGGCGAAGGCGGCUCACUGGCCCGGUACUGACGCUGAGGUGCGAAAGCGUGGGGAGCAAACAGG